AGCCAUCAUUUAAAGAAAGCGUAAUAGCUCACUGGUCGAGUCGGCCUGCGCGGAAGAUGUAACGGGGCUAAACCAUGCACCGAAGCUGCGGCAGCGAACGUAUCACUUAAAGCGAUUCAGCGGGUUACGAUUGACGGAGCGAAGCGACGUCAAAGCGUAUACAAAGUCGAGUCGGUUUAAGGAUACGUUCGUUGGGUAGGGGAGCGUUCUGUAAGCCUGCGAAGGUGGCCUGUGAGGGUUGCUGGAGGUAUCAGAAGUGCGAAUGCUGACAUAAGUAACGAUAAAGCGGGUGAAAAGCCCGCUCGCCGGAAGACCAAGGGUUCCUGUCCAACGUUAAUCGGGGCAGGGUGAGUCGACCCCUAAGGCGAGGCCGAAAGGCGUAGUCGAUGGGAAACGGGUUAAUAUUCCCGUACUUGGUGUUACUGCGAAGGGGGGACGGAGAAGGCUAUGUUGGCCGGGCGACGGUUGUCCCGGUUUAAGCGUGUAGGUGUGUGUUCCAGGUAAAUCCGGUUCACUUUAACACUGAGGCGUGAUGACGAGGCACUACGGUGCUGAAGCAACAAAUGCCCUGCUUCCAGGAAAAGCCUCUAAGCAUCAGGUAACAUCAAAUCGUACCCCAAACCGACACAGGUGGUCAGGUAGAGAAUACCAAGGCGCUUGAGAGAACUCGGGUGAAGGAACUAGGCAAAAUGGUGCCGUAACUUCGGGAGAAGGCACGCUGACACGUAGGUGAAGUGAUUUACUCAUGGAGCUGAAGUCAGUCGAAGAUACCAGCUGGCUGCAACUGUUUAUUAAAAACACAGCACUGUGCAAACACGAAAGUGGACGUAUACGGUGUGACGCCUGCCCGGUGCCGGAAGGUUAAUUGAUGGGGUCAGCGCAAGCGAAGCUCCUGAUCGAAGCCCCGGUAAACGGCGGCCGUAACUAUAACGGUCCUAAGGUAGCGAAAUUCCUUGUCGGGUAAGUUCCGACCUGCACGAAUGGCGUAAUGAUGGCCAGGCUGUCUCCACCCGAGACUCAGUGAAAUUGAACUCGCUGUGAAGAUGCAGUGUACCCGCGGCAAGACGGAAAGACCCCGUGAACCUUUACUAUAGCUUGACACUGAACAUUGAGCCUUGAUGUGUAGGAUAGGUGGGAGGCUUUGAAGUGUGGACGCCAGUCUGCAUGGAGCCGACCUUGAAAUACCACCCUUUAAUGUUUGAUGUUCUAACGUGGACCCGUAAUCCGGGUUGCGGACAGUGUCUGGUGGGUAGUUUGACUGGGGCGGUCUCCUCCUAAAGAGUAACGGAGGAGCACGAAGGUUGGCUAAUCCUGGUCGG
rnacentral:rRNA from 1 species